rnacentral:rRNA from 1 species
GAUCAUGGCUCAGAACGAACGCUGGCGGCGCGUCUUAACCAUGCAAGUCGGACGGCAGGUAGCAAUACCGAGAGUGGCGGACUGGUGAGUAACACGUGGGUGACGUACCCUUUAGUCUGGGAUAGCCGGUAGAAAUACCGGGUAAUACCGGAUAAGCUCAUUACUGUCAGAGGGUAAUGAGGAAAGGAGCUUCGGCUCCGCUGAAGGAACGGCCUGCGGCCUAUUAGCCUGUUGGUGAGGUAACGGCCCACCAAAGCGAUGAUAGGUAUCCGGCCUAAGAGGGCAAACGGACACAUUGGGACUGAGAUACGGCCCAGACUCCUACGGGAGGCAGCAGGUAAGAAUAUUCCGCAAUGGGCGAAAGCCUGACGGAGCGACGCCGCGUGGAUGAUGAAGGCCGAAAGGUUGUAAAAUCCUUUUACUACUGACGAAUAAGUGUAUCAGGCAAUGGGUACAUGGUGACGGUAGGUAACGAAUAAGCACCGGCUAAUUACGUG